AUACUUACCUGGCUGGGGAGAUACUAUGAUCACGGAGGUUGCUUUCCCAGGGUGAGGCUUAUCCAUUGUACUGCAGGUGUGCUGUUCCCUGCAAUUUCCCCAAACGUGGGAAACUCGACAGCAUAAUUUGUGGCAGUAGGGGACUAUGUCUUCGCUCUCCCCUG